CUUUGACAUUUACUUGCUAAAACUGGUGUGUGGUGUUUUCUGCCUCACCCUUUUAUUAAUGAGUUUAUUCCAGAUGUCGAGGAAGAUGAUGGAAUCUGUUGCAUUCAUCCUCAAAAGUUUUCAGAAAGUGAGAUCACUUGAAGCUAAAUGUGCUUAUCUUAAACGGAAGGGAUUUUGUUGAGCACAUUAAGGAAGAGUUACAUGAAGACCCCAAAAGAAAUAUGGGUGAAAAUGGGAAAAUUUAAAGAGAGAAAUAGUGUAAAAAUGAAUGGAUUUUGUUUGGUUUUAUACAUUCAAGUCUAUGUUAAAAGGUGGAUGAUUAUAUUUGUUAAGCACCAGUUUCUUCAUAUGAGUUUAAUAACCUACAAUAAUUUAG